rnacentral:misc_RNA from 1 species
UUUGGAAUAAAUUUUAAAAUAAUAGAGAUCAUUUUUGGAAUAAUUGAAAUGUGAAAUGAAUGUUCUUGUAUUCAUAUUGUGCCCUUGAUUAUGAAGAAACAAAUAUAAUUUAAGUAGGGGUUGGGAUUAAGGCAUAGUUGUUGUCUUUGUUGUAUUUUGGAUUUUAAGCAUGAUGAAGUAAAUUCUUGAAAAAUCAUGUCACUUGGGUAUGAGUUCAUUUCUUUUAAAAUUACUUUUUUCUUUCAAACUAAAAUAAUUGAAGUCUAGCAACUUUAAACUUUUUAAACAUGAGAAUUGAUCAUAACAGAUUUCAAUUAAAUUGAGCUUUUUCAUAUUUAGACUCUCCAAACACACCCUACAUGUGCAUCCUAAGUGGAAAAAGAAAUGGAUUUUGGCUGGUUAAUAGAAAAAAGUAAUUGCCAGGUUUGGGGCUCAAUUUGGUUGGUUGGGGACAUAACUAUUGGAUGUGGAUUUUGUCCAAAUGCAUGGAUACCCAUUUUGAAAGGUAGGUUCUCCUACAAUUGGGCUAAAUACCAAUUGAUACACUCUUCAAAGUGUUCAUAAUUUUUUGACAUGCAAUAGCUGCAUAAAACCUCUCCUCGCUAGCACCCACCCCCGCGCAUUAACCCCACCCAACACACACACACACACAAAA